UGUGGAGUAGUUUAUUUUUAAAAUGUAUUUUUUGUAAAAAUAUGAUUCUAUGCAGAUUCCAUUA
rnacentral:tRNA from 1 species